rnacentral:rRNA from 1 species
AGUGAACGCUGGCGGUAGGCCUAACACAUGCAAGUCGAACGGCAGCACAGUAAGAGCUUGCUCUUACGGGUGGCGAGUGGCGGACGGGUGAGGAAUGCAUCGGAAUCUACUUUUUCGUGGGGGAUAACGUAGGGAAACUUACGCUAAUACCGCAUACGUCCUACGGGUGAAAGCAGGGGAUCUUCGGACCUUGCGCGAUUGAAUGAGCCGAUGUCGGAUUAGCUAGUUGGCGGGGUAAAGGCCCACCAAGGCGACGAUCCGUAGCUGGUCUGAGAGGAUGAUCAGCCACACUGGAACUGAGACACGGUCCAGACUCCUACGGGAGGCAGCAGUGGGGAAUAUUGGACAAUGGGCGCAAGCCUGAUCCAGCCAUACCGCGUGGGUGAAGAAGGCCUUCGGGUUGUAAAGCCCUUUUGUUGGGAAAGAAAAGCAGCAGGUUAAUACCCCGCUGUUCUGACGGUACCCAAAGAAUAAGCACCGGCUAACUUCGUG